ACAUCCAGAGAAUUUAGCAGAGAUGCUUUAGUGCCUUCGGGAACUCUGAGACAGGUGCUGCAUGGCUGUCGUCAGCUCGUGUUGUGAAAUGUUGGGUUAAGUCCCGNAACGAGCGCAACCCCUAUCCUUUGUUGCCAGCGAUUCGGUCGGGAACUCAAAGGAGACUGCCGGUGAUAAACCGGAGGAAGGUGGGGAUGACGUCAAGUCAUCAUGGCCCUUACGAGUAGGGCUACACACGUGCUACAAUGGCGCAUACAAAGAGAAGCGACCUCGCGAGAGCAAGCGGACCUCAUAAAGUGCGUCGUAGUCCGGAUUGGAGUCUGCAACUCGACUCCAUGAAGUCGGAAUCGCUAGUAAUCGUAGAUCAGAGUGCUACGGUGAAUACGUUCCCGGGCCUUGUACACACCGCCCGUCACACCAUGGGAGUGGGUUGCAAAAGAAGUAGAUAGCUUAACCUUCGGGAGGGCGUUUACCACUUUGUGAUUCAUGACUGGGGUGAAGUCGUAACAAGGUAGGCGUACGUGU
rnacentral:rRNA from 1 species